GCAGAGUAGGAUUUUGUGCGUGAAGUGCCAUGUGAACAGGGAGUUGUCAUGUGGACGAAGAUUUGCAAAAAUCGCGAUACAGAGUUCGCAUCCCGCUGC
rnacentral:ncRNA from 1 species